GACGAACGCUGGCGGCGUGCUUAACACAUGCAAGUCGAGCGGUAAGGCCCUUUCGGGGGUACACGAGCGGCGAACGGGUGAGUAACACGUGGGUGACCUGCCUCUAGCUCUGGGAUAAGCCUGGGAAGCUGGGUCUAAUACCGGAUAUGACCUCGCGGUGCAUGUUGCGGGGUGGAAAGCCUUGUGCGGCUAGGGAUGGGCCCGCGGCCUAUCAGCUUGUUGGUGGGGUGAUGGCCUACCAAGGCGACGACGGGUAGCCGGCCCUGAGAGGGCGGCCGGCCACACUGGGACUGAGACACGGCCCAGACUCCUACGGGAGGCAGCAGUGGGGAAUCUUGCGCAAUGGGCGAAAGCCUGACGCAGCGACG
rnacentral:rRNA from 1 species